rnacentral:rRNA from 1 species
AACGAACGCUGGCGGCAUGCCUAACACAUGCAAGUCGAACGAGACCUUCGGGUCUAGUGGCGCACGGGUGCGUAACGCGUGGGAACCUGCCCUUAGGUUCGGAAUAACUCCCCGAAAGGGGUGCUAAUACCGGAUAAUGUCUUCGGACCAAAAAUUUAUCGCCUUUGGAUGGGCCCGCGUUGGAUUAGCUAGUUGGUAGGGUAAAAGCCUACCAAGGCGACGAUCCAUAGCUGGUCUGAGAGGAUGAUCAGCCACACUGGGACUGAGACACGGCCCAGACUCCUACGGGAGGCAGCAGUGGGGAAUAUUGGACAAUGGGCGAAAGCCUGAUCCAGCAAUGCCGCGUGAGUGAUGAAGGCCUUAGAGUUGUAAAGCUCUUUUACCCGGGAUGAUAAUGACAGUACCGGGAGAAUAAGCUCCGGCUAACUCCGUG